AGCUUCCGACCAGUUGUACAAAGUUGUAAGUUCCUUAGGACAAAUGAAAAAUUAAACUGGGCUGUUAUUUUAUGAGGAAAGGAAAUGAAAUUAACCAGAAAUGUAAAUACUAAAGCAUUGGACUAAGAAAUUAAGAAGCUUUCCUCCAAGUUGUAAGUUUAGUAGUAUUGAAAAUACUACUACUAGAGCAACAGUUUUGGUAAAAGUUAAUACAAGAAAUUGUAUUAAGUAUACAGGUAUUUGGAUCAUUUAUUCGGAAAGCACUCAUCGAGUCUUAUUUUCUUCAGGCACUCGAACCAAUUGAUUGUAUCAAUCUACUAGCACACCAAAAUAAUUGAGAGAUCUCGGAUUCGAACUCUUAGAACAUUAAUAAAGUCUAUUCUCAUUUGUAUAUUA